rnacentral:rRNA from 1 species
CCUACGGGAGGCAGCAGUGAGGAAUAUUGGUCAAUGGACGAGAGUCUGAACCAGCCAAGUAGCGUGAAGGAUGACUGCCCUCUGGGUUGUAAACUUCUUUUAUAUGGGAAUAAAAUGUUCCACGUGUGGGAUUUUGUAUGUACCAUAUGAAUAAGGCUCGGCUAACUCCGUGCCAGCAGCCGCGGUAAUACGGAGGAUCCGAGCGUUAUCCGGAUUUAUUGGGUUUAAAGGGAGCGUAGGUGGAUUGUUAAGUCAGUUGUGAAAGUUUGCGGCUCAACCGUAAAAUUGCAGUGGAAACUGGCAGUCUGGAGUACAGGAGAGGUGGGCGGAAUUCGUGGUGUAGCGGUGAAAUGCUUAGAUAUCACGAAGAACUCCAAUGGCGAAGGCAGCUCACUGGACUGCAACUGACACUGAGGCUCGAAAGUGUGGGUAUCAAACAGGAUUAGAUACCCCUGUAGUC